CCUCCUUCCCCCUCAAGCUGCUCACGAACGCCCCUCACGCGACUAGGGUUUCACUGCUGGUGCAGAUUCUCCAAGCCUUCCCUCUCCUCUCCCUCACGAGCUUCUCCUAGGUUGGCCAUCGCAGGCCCUAGGUGCCCGCCCGCCAGUCACGUUGUUGCGAGGAGCUCAGGCCACUAGACCAUGAGACGUCGGGGCACGAGCAGGCGAGGACAGAGCCCAGCCACGCCAAUGCGAUAGAGCUCGGGCCUGGUUACACCAGGCAAGGACGGCAAGGCUAGCGCCACUGCUAGGCGAGGAUGCGGCAAGGCUAGUGCCGCUGCUAGGCGAGGCCGCGCGGAGCACCACCUGUUGGCCCUCCUCCGCACGAUAAUGCCGCCAUCUGCUGCAGUGGAAGCUGCUCUUGCCGCUUUUGAUGACAGAAUAUGAGUCAAUCAGUCAUACAUGCUCUUAUGCUAUUUGCUGCACUUUCUUUUAGAUUGAAUUUGAUAUACUUGAGCUCCUUGGCUGUAGAAAUUGGAUCCUCCUGUUCAGACGACCUGAUGGAACGACUGUGUACAAGAACAUGGCUCUUAGGAAACUCAUGUGAAACUUUUGAAGCUUAUAUUUGUAUUCUUUUGAACCAAAUUAUGUGUUUCUUAUGAUUUUUGCUAUUUUUGUGUGACAAACUUUGGUAGAAAUUUUGACUGACGGAAAGGUUAUGUUGAAAUCAGGAAGUCUGUUUUGAUGACAGAAUAUGAGUCAAUCAGUCAUACAUGCUCUUAUGCCAUUUGCUGCACUUUCUUUUAGAUUGAAUUUGAUAUACUUGAGCUCCUUGGCUGUAGAAAUUGUGAUGGAACAACUGUGUACAAGAACAUGGCUCUUAGGAAACUCAUGUGAAACUUUUGAAGCUUAUAUUUGUAUUCUUUUGAACCAAAUUAUGUGUUUCUUACGAUUUUUGCUAUUUUUGUGUGACAAACUUUGGUAGAAAUUUUGACUGACGGAAAGGUUAUGUCGAAAUCAGGAAGUCUGUUUUGAUGACAGAAUAUGAGUCAAUCAGUCAUACAUGCUCUUAUGCCAUUUGCUGCACUUUCUUUUAGAUUGAAUUUGAUAUACUUGAGCUCCUUGGCUGUAGAAAUUGGAUCCUCCUGUUCAGACGACCUGAUGGAACAGACUGUGUACAAGAACAUGGCUCUUAGGAAACUCAUGUGAAACUUUUGAAGCUUAUAUUUGUAUUCUUUUGAACCAAAUUAUGUAUUUCUUAUGAUUUUUGCUAUUUUUGUGUGACAAACUUUGGUAGAAAUUUUGACUGACGGAAAGGUUAUGUCGAAAUCAGGAAGUCUGUUUUGGCCUUAGAUUGCAGACUUGCAGGAAUAGCAUGCCAAAAUAGAAUCCAUAACAAAUAUAUGGUUCCAUUGGUUCUAUAUUUUGAUCAUAAGAAACCAGAUAUGCAACUGAGAUGGGAUAAAUUAUGUUCUGCAAAAAUUGUACUAAAUAAGCAUUUGCCAACUUAUUACAUAAGUAAUUCUGCAAAUGGGUUAUCACACAAGUUGUUACUGAAACAUCUAAGGUAAAGUUGAAGCCUGUGUCUUUGGAUAAAACAUUCAUAAUGGAUAAAACACUCAUAACAGAGUACUCUGUUCUAAUUUUGGGAUAUAAAUUAGUGAACCUUUUCAAACACAUGUGUUUCUCUAUUCAAGAAAUUGGAAUUUAGAACCAUAGAUAGCUUGGAGAAUUUAUAGUUUUCUAUAUUUUCAGAUUAGUGAAGCAGAAAGGCUUAGCAUUAAUGAGAGAGAGUCUUCAGGCAUGCCUUUCAUUGCUUCCCUGCCUUUCCUAGAUUGGUCCGCUUGGGGUGUAGUUGAUUUCUUUAUGGACAUAAAAUUAAUCUAAUCUGUCAGUUUUCUAUUCAUCCAUUUUGCUUCUAAUUUCUUGACCUGGUGGCUAUAGUUAAUUAAUUGCUGCUUUCGGAGAAAGAAAAUGCUUGGAUGGAUGAAGCCUGAUUGGAGAAACUGGAGUUCCAAUAAAAGAUACAACCUUCAAGCGGCAUCUCCAGUCAGUCAAAUGGGAUAACAAGCAGAGGUUAGUCUGUUGGAGGAUGAUGUAAAACUGUUGAUCCGCAAACCAGGGUCACAUAGUAACAGUAUGUUCUCUGCCUGCAAUUGACUCAUGUUCACUUUUUCCUUUUAACUCUGUGUAAGAUGAGAAUGUUUUCUGUAGUAUAUUACAGCUUGCAUUCCUAUAAUUUUAAGAGAUGUAAUAUUCUUCCAAACGGGAAGGCCUUCAAUAUUUAGAGGUCAGAGUUAAGACUAUGUCUAUGAUAGUUUGCUAAGUAUUUAUUUGUUCAACUACUUUAUGUAAUAUUCUUCCAAACUAGAAGGCUUUCAGUAUUGCGAUGCAGGGAUUUUUUGGUUUAUUCAAAAAACUGAGUUAGGGAUAUCUCGUGGUUGCAAGAACCUGCAAAGGGUAUGUCUUAUCACUUAUAAAUUGAUAUUGAUAUUAUUCGUUAUAAGUUUUGUUUUCUGCUAACAAUAUGAGAACAACAAGGCAAGAUAAAUAGAUGUUCACAAACUAAGUUAGGCAAGAUAAAUAUGUCAUGUUUGUGGUGUUGACUGCGAUGCAGGGAAUUUUUGGUUCAUUCAAAAACUGAGUUAGGGAUAUCUCGCACGGUGAAAUCCAGGUUAGUCAAUUCGAUUAGGUUAUGCCUUGUAGGGAAUUUGAGACUCUUCAGGGUGUUGGUUGAUGACGCCUGUGCUGCUCGGAGAUUUGAAGAUGUAACUGCAUACAGUGUUUAGGGAAAUGUGGGAAUCGCUGGGAGAUUUGAAUUAAGAUGCAACUACAGUGUUUAGAAAACUGGAGAUUUGAAGAUGAAAUUGCACAGUUGACGUUUAUAUUUAUCACAUCAAAAUGUAAAUUAUAUUCCAAUUGUUUAUUCA